UGGGGAAUAUUGCACAAUGGACGCAAGCCUGAUGCAGCCAUGCCGCGUGUAUGAAGAAGGCCUUCGGGUUGUAAAGUACUUUCAGCGGGGAGGAAGGCGAUAAGGUUAAUAACCUUGUCGAUUGACGUUACCCGCAGAAGAAGCACCGGCUAACUCCGUGCCAGCAGCCGCGGUAAUACGGAGGGUGCAAGCGUUAAUCGGAAUUACUGGGCGUAAAGCGCACGCAGGCGGUCUGUCAAGUCGGAUGUGAAAUCCCCGGGCUCAACCUGGGAACUGCAUUCGAAACUGGCAGGCUAGAGUCUUGUAGAGGGGGGUAGAAUUCCAGGUGUAGCGGUGAAAUGCGUAGAGAUCUGGAGGAAUACCGGUGGCGAAGGCGGCCCCCUGGACAAAGACUGACGCUCAGGUGCGAAAGCGUGGGGAGCAAACA
rnacentral:rRNA from 1 species